rnacentral:tRNA from 1 species
UCCCUGGUGGCUCAGAGGAUAAAGCGUCUGCCUGCCAUGCAGGAGACCUGGGUUCAAUCCCCGCAUUGGGAA